AGCAGCCGCGGUAAUUCCAGCUCCAAUAGCGUAUAUUAAAGUUGUUGCAGUUAAAAAGCUCGUAGUUGAAUUUCGGGGUUAGUAGGUUGGUCAUGCCUCUGGUAUGUACUGGUCUCACUGAUUCCUCCUUCCUGAUGAGCCGUAAUGCCAUUAAUUUGGUGUUGCGGGGAAUUUGGACUGUUACUUUGAAAAAAUUAGAGUGUUUAAAGCAAGCUAACGCUUGAAUACAUUAGCAUGGAAUAAUGAAAUAGGACGUUCGAUCCUAUUUUGUUGGUUUCUAGGAUUGACGUAAUGAUUAAUAGGGAUAGUUGGGGGCAUUAGUAUUCAAUUGUCAGAGGUGAAAUUCUUGGAUUUAUUGAAGACUAACUACUGCGAAAGCAUUUGCCAAGGAUGUUUUCAUUAAUCAAGAACGAAAGUUGGGGGCUCGAAGACGAUCAGAUACCGUCCUAGUCUCAACCAUAAACGAUGCCGACCAGGGAUCGGCGGAUGUUACUUUUAGGACUCCGCCGGCACCUUAUG
rnacentral:rRNA from 1 species